UGUUCUGAGACCUGAAUUACCUGGGUAAUUAUGUCCUUCACUUUUCUACUUGUGUGGCUUUACUAACAAGCUGAAAAUAUUCCCAAGGUGUCAAUCCUCUGGGCCCUUGGAGAUGCUGCUUUUCUGUAUAAAAUAUAGGUAUGCCUCAGAUCCUCCGGCCAAAGCUCCCUUAUCCUCUGGGGCAGUCUAAACUGAUGUGGAGAUCAAGAGAAAGGGCUUUGGGCCUCAGGAUUUGCAUAGAAGAUGCUAUAAACUGGUUUACUCAAAACCCAUUCUGUUUCCUUUCUAGCUUGACUUCCCGUCCACAGAGGCUAGAGAAUUAUUCCUUCCUCCCCCUGCCUCGCAGCGAGGGUUCUGCGUGCGACUUUGCUUCAGCUUGUCCAAUGCGUCUGUGUGAGACCAGGAGUGUGAAGGGGAACACACUUUCUUGUUUAUAAUCUCCUUGGAUCUCAAAUCAUUUCCAAUGCUGGACUGUACAGCCUUGCCUGGAACCCCGAAGCAUCAUGGGAGACUGGUGUCAAGGGUCCGUUUUCACAGAGGAAGAGGACAAGCUGAGUCAGGGACUGCCCUCCUGCCCGUUCCAGCGUUCUGUCUUCCUUAAUUAGCAGAAACAGUCCCCACUUAGAAAAGAUGUUCGUGCCCUUGUGACGAAGAGCCUUCAAAUAGUCACGCUUUAAAGGAAAAUACGUCAAGGCAGAAAAAUGCCAGUUGAAAGCCUGCGCACUUAACACCCGGGAGAGCAGCAACUCGGAAUCUCAUGCUUCCUCCACUACACGCCCAAGAGAGCAGAGGGUAAAGAAGGUGUACGUGAAGUCCAGAAACAAGACAGGGGCCUCCUGAUGCCCCCGCGCUGCCAGUAUCAGUUCCCAGGGAUAAUAGGACAUUCCACAGUGACGGAAACCACGCGGGAAGAACAGGAUGUGCAGGGGUCAUGUCAGCUUUUGGAGGUAGGGGAGUUUUUGUCUCUUAAUGAACACAUGUUUCCUUUUAUUAGAUAAGAGUUUUAAAAGGAAUAGUUUUCCCCUUGGCUACUGUGAACACAGAGCUAAUUUGGGGGCUGCC